rnacentral:rRNA from 1 species
UACGUAGGGUGCAAGCGUUAAUCGGAAUUACUGGGCGUAAAGCGUGCGCAGGCGGUGAUGUAAGACAGAUGUGAAAUCCCCGGGCUCAACCUGGGAACUGCAUUUGUGACUGCAUCGCUGGAGUGCGGCAGAGGGGAAUGGAAUUCCGCGUGUAGCAGUGAAAUGCGUAGAUAUGCGGAGGAACACCGAUGGCGAAGGCAAUCCCCUGGGCCUGCACUGACGCUCAUGCACGAAAGCGUGGGGAGCAAACAGG